rnacentral:tRNA from 1 species
GGAUGAAUGGCUGAGUGGUUGAAAGCACUAGUUUUGAAAACUAGCAUAUAUUAUUAAAAUAUAUCGUGGGUUCGAAUCCUACUUCAUCCUC